GGAGAGAUGGUCGAGCUGGUUUAAGGCACCGGUCUUGAAAACCGACGUACUCGAAAGGGUACCAAGGGUUCGAAUCCCUUUCUCUCCGCCA
rnacentral:tRNA from 1 species